AAUUUACUGCUACCGAGUAGUAGAAUGCCAAGCAUUCGUUUACACAUCGUCAGGUCUUAGAAGAUGUGUAUGCGGGUGCUUAUUUUUU
rnacentral:ncRNA from 1 species